AUUCGUCGACACAGUAAAAAGAUCCUGGCUCAGAAUCAACGCUGGCGGCGUGCCCCUGACAUGCAAGUCGAACGCGAAAGCCUCCUUCGGGGGGCAAGUAGAGUGGCGCACGGGUGAGUAACACGUAGGUAAUCUACCUUUGGAUUGGGAAUAACCACCGGAAACGGUGGCUAAUACCGAAUAAUGCAGCGGCACCUAAUGGUGACAGUUGUUAAAGCGGGGGAUCGCAAGACCUCGCGUCUGAAGAGGAGCCUGCGGCAGAUUAGCUAGUUGGUAAGGUAACGGCUUACCAAGGCGAUGAUCUGUAGCCGGCCUGAGAGGGCGGUCGGCCACACUGACACUGACAUACGGGUCAGACUCCUACGGGAGGCAGCAGUCGGGAAUUUUGGGCAAUGGGCGAAAGCCUGACCCAGCAACGCCGCGUGAAGGAUGAAAUCCCUCGGGAUGUAAACUUCGCAAGAACGGGAAGAAUAAGUAAGAGUUAACAUCUCUUACGAUGACGGUACUGUUUGUAAGCUCCGGCUAACUCCGUGCCAGCAGCCGCGGUAAUACGGGGGGAGCAAGCGUUGUUCGGAUUUACUGGGCGUAAAGGGCGCGUAGGCGGCCACCGCAAGUCGACUGUGAAAUCUCCGGGCUUAACCCGGAAAGGUCAGCCGAUACUGCGGGGCUAGAGUGCAGAAGGGGCAACUGGAAUUCUCGGUGUAGCGGUGAAAUGCGUAGAUAUCGAGAGGAACACCUGCGGCGAAGGCGGGUUGCUGGGCUGACACUGACGCUGAGGCGCGAAAGCUAGAGGAGCGAACGGGAUUAGAUACCCCGGCAGUCCUAGCCUUAAACGAUGAAUGCUUGGUGUCUUGGGGUUUUAUGUCCCCGGGUGCCGGCGCUAACGCUUUAAGCAUCCGGCUGGGGGAGUACGGGCCCAAGAAUGAAACUUCAAGG
rnacentral:rRNA from 1 species